AAAAUUUCAAAAGUCGAACAGACUUAAUCUUUUAGCUUUUACACCAAAAAUUCAUUUUAAUCCAACAUCGAGGUCGCAAACUUUUCUUUCGAUAAGAACUCUCAAGAAAAAUAACG
rnacentral:rRNA from 1 species